rnacentral:rRNA from 1 species
AUGUUGCAUGGCAUUGAUUCGCGUGCCCAUGCAUGGUCACUCGACGAGCCCGUCGCGCCGAGCAUCUCCACUGCUCGGUCCGUUUCGCCAGCGGCCGCCGAGUCGCCCGCGGCUCGGCCCGUCACGCCGUCUUCGCCUGCGGCUCGGCCCGUCACGCCGUCUUCGCCCGCGGCUCGGGUCCUCACGUCGCCUUCAUCAGCAGAUCGGCCCGCGACACCGGCCGCGCCACGGCCCACUAUGCCGAGCUCGCCAUCGGCCCGGUCUGUGAUGCCGGAGUCGCCAGCUGCUUCGUCUGCUCUGCCGGUUUCGCCGGUGGGUCGGCCUUCUUCGCCAACCGAGUCCGAGGCUACCGUGACUGGCUCCUCGUCACCAGCUGACUCGUCAACGUCGCCGUCCUCCAGCCCGUUGCAGGCUGCUCCGUCGACCUCGGAGGUUCCUGUGUCCCGACCACAUACACGCAGUCGCAGUGGCAUUUUCAAACCUAAGGAACGUAAGGAUGGUACGGUUGCUUGGUUGGCUGCUUGUUUGGCUGCUGCUGUUGCGGAUCCAUCUUCUGAGCCUCGCUCAUAUCAGGCUGCCCUGCGCAUUCCACAUUGGCGAGAGGCUAUGGAGCAGGAGUUUCAUGCUCUUCUUCGUAACAAGACAUGGACUCUCGUUCCUCCACCACCACGGGUAAAUGUUAUUGACUCAAAAUGGGUAUUCAAAGUGAAGAAGCAUUCGGAUGGAUCUAUUGAGCGUUACAAAGCGCGACUUGUUGCUCGCGGUUUUCGGCAGCGUCAUGGUCUUGACUAUGAGGACACCUUCAGUCCUGUCGUCAAGCCUACCACUAUUCGGCCACUUCGUCAACUUGAUGUGCAGAAUGCUUUUCUACAUGGAUUUUUGGAGGAAGAGGUUUAUAUGAAACAGCCGCCUGGUUUCUCUGAUCCUGAUCGUCCUGACUAUAUCUGUCGUCUUUUCAAAGCACUAUAUGGUUUGAAGCAAGCUCCUCGUGCCUGGCAUGCCCGCCUUGCCUCUGCCCUUCGUGCUCAUGGGUUUGUGCCGUCUACUGCUGACACUUCGUUAUUUCUUCUACAGAAGCCAGAAGUCACUAUGUAUCUUUUGGUAUAUGUCGAUGAUAUUAUCCUUGUCAGCUCUUCUCAAUAUGCUGCUGAUGCUCUUGUCUGCUCUCUUGGUGCUGAUUUUGCGGUCAAAGAUCUUGGGAAGCUUCACUACUUUCUUGGAGUUGAGGUCACUUCUCGUGCUACUGGUCUUGUCCUUACGCAGAAGAAGUACUCCUUGGAGUUGUUACAGAGAGCUGGCAUGCUGAAGUGCAAACCGACCACCACACCCAUGUCGUCUACCGACAAGAUAACAGCUGUUGAUGGUGAGUUUUUGUCUCCUGCGGAUGCCACAGAGUACAGGAGCAUUGUUGGUGGACUUCAGUACUUGACGAUCAUGAGACCAGAUAUCUCUUAUGCUGUUAACAGGGUUUGUCAGUAUCUUCAGGCUCCCAGAGAUACUCAUUGGGCUGCUGUUAAACGCAUUCUUCGUUAUGUUCAGUUCACCCUGACAUUUGGUAUGCAUAUUCGGCCGACUUCCUCUCGGGUCCUUUCGGCCUUCUCUGAUGCAGAUUGGGCUGGUAGCCCAGAUGACAGGCGAUCCACGGGGGGUUAUGCAGUAUUCUUUGGCUCUAAUUUGAUCGCCUGGAGUGCUCGGAAACAGGCUACUGUGUCACGUAGCAGUACUGAAGCUGAGUACAAGGUUGUGGCUAAUGCUACUGCAGAGAUUAUUUGGGUGCAGUCUUUGCUUCAGGAGUUGGGUUUGUCUCAACCACAGCCUCCUAUUCUUUGGUGUGAUAACAUCGGUGCUACAUACCUUUCUGCAAAUCCAGUAUUUCUUGCCCGAAUGAAACACAUUGAAGUUGACUAUCACUUUGUACGGGAACGUGUAUCACAGAAGCAACUCCAGAUCAAGUUUAUCUCAUCUAAGGAUCAACUUGCAGACAUCUUCACUAAGCCUUUA